GCCACCUACUAUCAUUCUAUUUUUUUAGAGUAUGGAUCUAGAUUUCAGAAUUUUACACACUCAGUUCCAAAAUCAAAUACCAUGAAUUCUGCUGUCAGAAAGAAUUGCAAAGAUUGUGGCUACCAUUGCUUAAUCUUCCUACUUGAUUAAAUGUAUGAAUGCUAUAUUUGAGCAGAAUCAGGAUUUAUUUGUAAAAAGCUGUGGUGGUUGCAAAAGAGAUCCUAUGGGCACCAGAUCAGAAGGGGACAGUGGGUGUUUGGUAACUGUUUGAAAGGGGAGCAUAGGAACAUAGGAAGCUGUCUGAUAAAAACCAGACCAUUGGUCCUCCUACCUCAGUACUGUCAACAUGGAUGGUAGAAUUUCCACCCUGCCUGAAAGUGCCCUGGACUUCUCCUUUCAGGUCUUUUAACCAAUGUUGCUCUCAGGCUGCUUAGCCUUUCCCCAUAAGUGCCAGAAACUCACUCUUUCUUACCCAAAAGCUGUGAUUCUCCAAUAUUUGCAUAUUAUCUUUAAACAGCCAGAUUACAUGCUAUGCAGCAUGACCACAGUUAUUCAUAUAUCUCGAUCCCCUGGUGCCUGACUAACAAAACAAUAGUGUUCGUUCAUCUUUGCAAUUCUCAGGAACCUUGAACAAAUUUCUUCAUUUAUUUCCUUUUAGUUACUUUGUGAGUGAAAAACAAACAAACAAACACAAAAACCCAAGUAUUAGCCUUCCCGAUUUCAAGCUGUAAAACAUCUAACUUUUUGUAGUCAAGAAUGCAUAGUUCCAUUGCAAGGACUCGAAGUUUCCACCUUUACUCCGUUAUAAAUUUGAGCCUACAAUUCCCAUUGCCUCUGACUAUUGGCUAUUCUGGCUGGGGUUGAUGGACAUUGGACUCCAACAAUAUCUGGAUCACCCCAGGUUUCUCAUCCCUCCUUAGCCUUGGUUAAAUAAAGCUAAUCGUCUUAACAGCAGGAGUGUCCUGGACAGCUCAUCAUAUAAUAAUAGUAUAUGCCAGGCCAAAUGAUGUCGUGAGCUCAAACCAUAAAUCUAAGAAAGGAGAACUACUGAGUUAGUGAGCACCCAAGAGAUCAUUCAGACCAACCCCAAUCACUUAGCACUAUAUUCCAGGUAGAGAUAAGAGUGCAGUCAAGUGUUCCGUACAUUUUCCAGCCAGCUCAGUGCUCAUUUGCCUUACAAACCGGGAAGCGAAUUUCCUUCCUUCCUUCCCAUUUUAACCCUCCUUAUCCAUUCUAAUGGAGCUAGGCAUUUUGCACCAAAAAGCAUCUCAGUAAUUGAAUAACUUUCAUGGCUUUGCAGAAAUUUUAAUGUAUCCCUUAAUUACAGAGGAUCAAUAAAGCAACUGCAGGACAUUUUUCUUCUCCUCGUUCUUCACGCAGGCCUCACUUGUCGUCCCCUCCCUGGGCCCCCAGCCUCCGUCUGAGUAUAGGAUGCUCUUAUUCUCAUUUGCGAGAUUGACACUCUGUCAUUGCCGUUUCUCUUCUAGAAUUUGGCAAGAAUGGCUUCCUGCUGGGCCAAGAGAGAAGCUGCUCUGCAGAGGAGUAACCUCACGCCAUUUCUUGGCUUGCUUUCAGCAACUGUGCAUCAUUUUGCCAGAAACACUGAGUAUAUUUUAGUGCACAGGAGAGGCUGGGGCAGAUAAGCCUGGACCAUGGCUAACACCUCCCCCAUCUCUCUCUCCCAGGUCCAUCAGAAUCACAACUCCUUGCACACGCAGACACCCACACAAAGAUUAACUAAUUUUUUAACCUCGUUACAUGAAAUUAACCUGAAUUUCACACAUUCUUGCAAAAUAAGUUCUUUAGUAAGCCUGCUGGCCUUUACCUUGUGGCUAUAUUAUAAUUAUCCUGCCCUAGAAAAACUAAAAGAGAGAAAGAGAGAGAAUGACAAGGAAGAUAUUGGAGAGGGAAAGGGAGAAUGCAGGUGGGGAGGGGGACAAAUAUCAUGAUUCUCAGAUUAGAAAUUCUUGGGUGGAAGGGAGGGGGGCAAAUAUCAUGCCUUUAAAUAUGUCUGGAAUACACCCAGUUCAAUGUGGGCACAGCUGGAGCCAAAUAAUCAAUUUAAUGCAAAGGCUAACAAAAGGAAAAGAAUUAUAUUUUUUUUGAGGAGGAUUUAUCUACACACAGGUUAAUGAAUUCACAUUAGUUAAUAUUAUUUAACCAACCAGUAUUAAGCCCCUAUACACUCAUUAUCACUAAAAAGUGCCUUCUCAUAGAGAUCAUUACACUUUGGGGAUUAAAGUUAAAGCUAACAUGGAAAGGGGACAUUGAAUUCCUAAUAAGGAUGUCUGUGGAACUUAAAUUGAACAGAGGAAAAUGGCUCCCAAAAGGAAGCAUGGAAAAAAAGAGGCUACUUCCAGAUGACCUGUUUAUUCAGCGUUCAUCCUGAUUUGUUUCCACAAAAAUUUGUGGGGAAGUUACACAACAUCAGCUGAUUAUUGAGCAUUAAUUAUGAUUUGUUUGCAGGGAGCUUAUAAUGCACUGCCUCAUGCAACUGUUACUCUGUACUAUCCAACCCACUUUGGUAGAGUAAGAGUAGACUAAAACGUUUGGUUUUUCUCACUGCCUCUUAAUCCACAUGGAGAAGAUUUGUGGUUCUGCUCAUGGUGCACAUAGGUGUUACAAGUGUGUCUCUAUAUCCACUUGGAGGUGAUGGGACUUUCAAUAAAGAGAGCAAGGAAGAACAUAAGAAUUAAGCUGAAUGCCCAUCUAGUCCAGCACCUUGUUUUCCCCAUAGCCAACCAUAUCCCUAAGGGAGGCCUGCAAACAGCACUCUCCCUACUUUGGAUUCCAGUCCUAGCAACCAGUAUACAGAGGCAUACUGUCUCUGACAAUGAAGUUAGAACAUAGCCAUUGUGACUAGCAGCCUUAUCCUCCAAAUAGUUGUCUAAUUCUCUCUAGUUGAUGGUCGCCACUGCAUCUUGUGAGAGCAAAUGCCAUAGUUUAGCUAUGCCCUGUGUGAAGAUGUACUUCAUUUUGUCUUCCUUGAAUCUUCCCAACAUUCAGGUUCAUUGGAUGGCGCUGGAUUCUAGUAUUAUGAGAGAGGCCUAUCCAAUUUCCCCACCCCAAUGCUAGAUAUUUGCCUGAAGGGCCGAAAAUAUACUUUACUGCAGGUUUUGCGGGCAGCAGGCGAGGACUGUUUCACCCUGAUAAGAAGAGAAGUGGGAAGAUCCUGUUUCCAGACUUUGCAUCCUUUCAGCUCUGACAGGCAUUUCACACAUUUUCUUUUUAACUCACAGUCAAUGCACAUGAUUGCUCUGCUUGUACCAUCUACUUUUUCACCUGUCUAGUGGAAUCUGUCUGUUAUGAGCAGGGAUGACUGCUUGAGGUAUCCCAUUAUACAUCACGGAAGGCUUGAUUCUCUCUGCUAUAUGCUGUGCUCAUUUACCUCCUGCACUGGUAGAUUAAAGAUAAGGUGUGUGGGGGGGGAUACAAUUAUCUUGUGAUCUGUUUAUCAAGAGCUCAAAAUGAGCUUCAUUAGCAUGUUCAUAUCUGCCAUUUACAUGCAUGUGCAUUAAAGCCAAGAUGCACCCACCCUCCACUGGGAGAUUUCACGUCUAAAGACGCUGAGCUGAACCUGGAAAAAUUACAAGUCUAGUAACAACUCACAACUCUAGUAAGGCAGCCCCUAAAGCCAAAAACUGGGACAACUGGAGUCAAUUUAAGGAGUCUGCUCAUUCCACAUUCCUUUUGGAGUUCUUCCUCAUUGAGCUACUAGUCACUUACUUUUGAUGAGCUGUGAAUUAGGUCCCACAUUGUUGUGAUAGAGGCACCAAUAGACAAGAGUACACGGCCCAGGCCUCUCCUCACUGGUGCUCCUCCAAACUUGCUCUUUUCAGUUAAGGACUCCCCUCUUCUCACUAAACCAUUUAAGAGGAGUAGAAGCAGAUGAACCAUGUCAUGGUCUGGACUUCAUAAACAUCUCAGCCACUUGAGCCAACAUUCUGGUCUGUUGUAAGCCACUUCUCAUUAACUAUUAUUGGCAAAAAAAAAUGAUGCAAUAUGUUUAAAUUUUGGCCAGAACCUCAUGCACUUUGAAAAGGCUUAACAUUCUGUGCAUGCUUAAUAAACAUCAAAAUAAUAACAGAGACCUCUAGGUAAUAACAUUGAAACUGGAGAAAUUAUUUUUACCUCAUGUUCUUUGCAAGUUACUAUCCAGGAUUGCUAACAUAAUGGCUUUUAUUUGAUUUAUUUAUUCUCAGCCUUAUCUGGGCAUUAGAGAACAGAUAGAACCAGUUAUGUUUUUAUUUGUCUGCUUCUCAUUUGCUACAUGGUCUCUGAUGAGCUAAAUAUCCCUGAGCCCCCAGACAUUUCUCUGGGCAGCGCCCACCUAUUUGCAACUAAAUUAUGAGAACUUCAUUUUAGAGCAGCAGAUCCAGCUGGAAACUCUCAGCUCAUACAUAUUAGAUCUUUUUUUAAUUUUAUUCUCCCUUCCCCAAGUGGAAGGAAGUUCAGAAUUGGUUUUGCUUGACUAAUUUCCAUCGAAAGAGUGGAGACUUGCAGUGGUGUUUUCUGAGCCAAUGGACACAUUUCAAAUGUUGAGAAAGUGGACUUCCAGAGGCGGCGCCAUCGGCAAUGGCGGAUUCCCUCUAGUCUCGAGGGAAUAGCUCCGCGGAAAUCGGGUCUUGCCGCUACGGUGAAGCGGGGACCCCUCCGAAAAUCACAGGCAGGUGAAGCCUGUGACCGUGGGACUCGGCGGGCACCCUUAGCGCCCCCCCAAUUUGCGAGGGAACCCUGGAAAGAGUUCCGGAGCGGAGCGGGGAGUCUGGCGCGGUGCUGAGAGUCAACUGCUUCUUCCGUGGAGUGAAGCCGCGCAGCUGUUGCCGGAGAGCGCCGACCUUUUUCCUGUGACAAUUCGGCUAAGAAACAACUACCCGUGAGUAGGUUAAGUCCGAGGAUCCGGGAACUUAAGGAAAAAAGGGCUAAUUUGGCACCGAAGCGGGAAGGUGUAAACAGGAAGUCCGCCUUCCUUUUAUGUAAAUAGAUCAAAGCAAAGACUGUCAAAGCAAAGAGCUUGAAACUGCGUUGAAAAAGACUUAAAUCCCGCAUCAAUAAAAAGAGAACUCCCUCCCUUCGGUGCGGGGAGAGGGGAGGGAGAAGGGGAAGUAUUUGUUGCCCGCAAAAGAAGAGAGAAAGUGAACUAAGACCAUCACUUAAUGCCUGGGAACGGACUGUCAAGGGACAUUGAAAUUGCCGUAUUGGGAAACGAGCUGUCAAAAGAUAAUGCAACUUUUUGACAGUUAGCUCUGCAAGAGGGAUACUUUGAUUCUGAAAAGCUUCACUGGAUUUGAAACUGUUGCCUUUUUCGACUAAAGGGGGGAUCUUUGAGAGUUGGAAUAGCUAUUUUAUUGCUAUAAUUUGGAACUGCUACUGUGUCCCCCUAGAGGAAUUUGAAAUUGCUACAACUGGCCAGGGAAUUUUCCACUUUAAAUUGGCUAUACUAAAGGGGAAUUUUCCACCAUAAACCAGCUUGUGGGACCGACCUUGAUUCUUAGAUAAAGUGUUAUGGCAGACUCAACUCAGGAAAAAACAUCAAGAUCUGGUAAAAUUAGACAGCAGCAGUGUAGACCGUCAGCACCCAGCCUUCCUGCCCCACCAGGGGAAGACUCAGCCCAGGUGGCCUCUAAAGGAAUGGCAGCUGAAGGGGGCUUAUCUUCAGCCUUAGAUAAAAUUUUUGAAUCUUUGGAAAAGUUGAGUAAACAAGUGGCUGAAGCGACAACUAAAAUUGAUCAAAAUACAACAAGCAUCAACAACUUGGGGCAGAAGGUGAACUCAAAUACAGAAUCUAUUGAGAAACUGCUGCAGGAAUCUGCUUUGAAUCGAAAAACAGCUGAAGAGGCCAAGCAAAAAGCAUUGGCUGUAGAGGAAAAGAUAGAGGAAAAGAUUCCACCGAUAUGUAGGCAGCUGGAGGAUCAUAAGUCAUCACUGUCUAUGAUCGAAUUG